CGCCCCCUAUACGUCAUCAUUGAGUAAACUUUGACCCGGAACCUCACAGUCAGCAGACACGUCCUGGGAGGGAGAGUCUGCUGCUGAUUGGGUGGACUGUGUCUGCCGGCUGUGAGGUUCCGGGUCAAAGUUUACUCAAUGAUGACGUAUAGGGGGCG